rnacentral:rRNA from 1 species
UACGAAGGGGGCUAGCGUUGCUCGGAUUGACUGGGCGUAAAGGGCGCGUAGGCGGGCGACCAAGUCAGGGGUGAAAUCCCACGGCUCAACCGUGGAAGUGCCUUUGAUACUGGUUGUCUCGAGGGAGGUAGGGGCGUGCGGAACUUCCGGUGGAGCGGUGAAAUGCGUAGAUAUCGGAAGGAACGCCGGUGGCGAAAGCGGCGCGCUGGACCUCUUCUGACGCUGAGGCGCGAAAGCUAGGGGAGCAAACGGG